CCUACGGGAGGCUGCAGUGGGGAAUAUUGCACAAUGGGCGCAAGCCUGAUGCAGCCAUGCCGCGUGUGUGAAGAAGGCCUUCGGGUUGUAAAGCACUUUCAGCGGGGAGGAAGGCGUUAAGGUUAAUAACCUUGGCGAUUGACGUUACCCGCAGAAGAAGCACCGGCUAACUCCGUGCCAGCAGCCGCGGUAAUACGGAGGGUGCAAGCGUUAAUCGGAAUUACUGGGCGUAAAGCGCACGCAGGCGGUCUGUCAAGUCGGAUGUGAAAUCCCCGGGCUCAACCUGGGAACUGCAUUCGAAACUGGCAGGCUAGAGUCUUGUAGAGGGGGGGAGAAUUCCAGGGGUAGCGGGGAAAGGCGUAGAGAUCGGGAGGAAUACCGGGGGCGAAGGCGGCCCCCGGACAAAGACUGACGCUCAGGUGCGAAAGCGUGGGGAGCAAACAGGAUUAGAUACCCUAGUAGUC
rnacentral:rRNA from 1 species